GAUCAUGGCUCAGAUUGAACGCUGGCGGCAGGCCUAACACAUGCAAGUCGAACGGUAACAGGAAGAAGCUUGCUUCUUUGCUGACGAGUGGCGGACGGGUGAGUAAUGUCUGGGAAACUGCCUGAUGGAGGGGGGAUAACUACUGGAAACGGUAGCUAAUACCGCAUAACGUCGCAAGACCAAAGAGGGGGGACCUUCGGGCCGUCUUGCCAUCGGAUGUGCCCAGAUGGGAUUAGCUUGUUGGUGGGG
rnacentral:rRNA from 1 species